UACAGAGGUCCCGAGCGUUGUUCGGGUUCACUGGGCGUAAAGGGUGCGUAGGUGGUGGGGUAAGUCUCGUGUGAAAGCUCGCAGCUUAACUGCGAAAAGUCACGGGAUACUAUUCCGCUGGAGGCUUGGAGGGGGGACUGGAAUACUUGGUGUAGCAGUGAAAUGCGUAGAUAUCAAGUGGAACACCAGUGGCGAAGGCGAGUCCCUGGACAAGACCUGACACUGAGGCACGAAAGCCAGGGGAGCAAACAGG
rnacentral:rRNA from 1 species